GACGAACGCUGGCGGCAUGCCUAAUACAUGCAAGUCGAGCGGAGUUGGUGGAAAGCUUGCUUUCCUGAUACUUAGCGGCGGACGGGUGAGUAACACGUAGGCAACCUGCCCUCAAGCUUGGGACAACUACCGGAAACGGUAGCUAAUACCGAAUACUUGUUUUCUUCGCCUGAAGAGAACUGGAAAGACGGAGCAAUCUGUCACUUGGGGAUGGGCCUGCGGCGCAUUAGCUAGUUGGUGAGGUAACGGCUCACCAAGGCGACGAUGCGUAGCCGACCUGGGAGGGUGAUCGGCCACACUGGGAUCGCGAAACGGCCCAGACUCCUACGGGAGGCAGCAGUAGGGAAUCUUCCGCAAUGGGCGAAAGCCUGACGGAGCAAUGCCGCGUGAGUGAUGAAGGUUUUCGGAUCGUAAAGCUCUGUUGCCAGGGAAGAACGCUUGGGAGAGUAACUGCUCCCAAGGUGACGGUACCUGAGAAGAAAGCCCCGGCUAACUACGUGCCAGCAGCCGCCGCCG
rnacentral:rRNA from 1 species